CCGGCGGCGGCGGCGGCGGCGGCCCCGCUCCCCGGCGACCCCGACAGACGCGACCGAACUCCCGACCAGACCCGGAAGCAGAGCCCCGCGAGCGGGAAGCCGGCCCGAAGGGGGCGGAGGAGCAUCGCGCAGGCGCCGGCUCUGCCGCGGCACGCCCCGCCCCCCGCGCUAGCGACGGCCAAUGGCGAGCGAGGGCGGGACGGAGGACGGAUCCGGCCGUGAGGGGACGGAGGGGCUGGCGCGGCGGGAAAGGCUUGGAAGGGUCGCAUGGGAGAGGCUAGGGUGCUGGGAGGGGCUUCGAGAGGCCGGAGAAUUUGCAGUCGGCGCGGGUUGUUCUCCUAUGCUCUGCUCCCCGGGGUACAUGAUGUCCCGCCGGCCUGCUCCGUCUUCUCUCACGGAGACACUCUGGCGCAUGAGGCGAUGGCCGCCCUCCCUCGGUCUGCGUGUACAGUCCGUAAGCUCCUCCUGGGAUGUGUAUUUAUUGCUUCAGUUACUGCUCAUCCUUCCUUUAGUUAUUGCACAUUUUUAGGUAUGGGUGUGCUGGUGACCAGCGGCACUUCCUCAGAGAAGCCUUUGCUCUUUAGCCGCGCUCUAACAGAGUAGCAGUUAAUGCCGACACACACGUGCUUGCUGUUCCCAUCCUUAUUUAAGCCUGGUAAUUCUUCAUUUCUGACCCGAUUUAGCUCCAGUUUCCAACAAUCAAAUCUUGUUAAUAUAUUUUGCAUUUUCAUACCACAGUACAUUUUGAGAAUAAGUGAAAACAAGUUCUGCAAAUUGCAAGGACUGAAUGUUAUCAUACACUCAUGGAAUCAGGGAAUGGUUUGGCUUGGAAGGGAUCUUAAAGGUUAUCUAGUUCCAGUCCCUCCUACCAUGGGCAGGGAUGCCACUCAGUACAUAACCUUUCUCAGAGCUCCAUCCACCUUGUCCGUGUUAGCUCUUUGCCAGCUAGGUAACAAGAAAGGUCACAAAUUGAAUUAAGACCAUCAUUGCCAGUAAACAAACGAGACCAAACUCCACUUGCUCAAAUAAAAUCCUUUAGGCUAGCUUGCUGGUGACAUGAGCUGGGCAAAGCCUUCUUGGUUUGCUGUUUCUCAAUAAAUCUUCAUGCUAUGUGGUUGAGCAAUACCUGUAAUUCAGCAUCAGGAGAGUAUGGGAAAUGAGCCUAAUUAAUCCCUGCUAGUAUUUGAAGUAGAACAGGUGCAGAAUCUGAGCUGGAGCUUAGGUUGACAACAGAUACUGUUGAUUUUAGAGUAAGAAAAAAGACCUGCAAACUCUCCAGGGAGAGCUAUGAGAUACUACAGCUGUCAAACAAACAAAACUCAAAACUAAGAAGUUCAGAGAAGGCCUGAAAAUUGAAUACCCUGUUGAUAAAAUAUUUCAAUUGCUCAGUUAAACAGCUUAGUUGACCCAAACUUUGCUCCUCUGUCCUUCAGUUUUCUGUUUGCUCCUCACAGAUGUAGAGUCUGGUUCUAGAAACCACUGUGCAGUUUACCAAGUUAUUACAGUCCAGUAUAAAGUGUGUUGGUCAAGGGCUUUUUUACAAGAACUUUUCAAAGGCCAGAUGCUGUUACUGCCAACAUCUUAACUAUCUAAAUUGUGUUUGUACAGUGUUCUGUAUGGGAAUGAUAUCUAAAUUAACUAUUUUUUUUUUCAGAAGGACUUUGUUGUAAACAUAGAUCAAAAAUUAACCUUGAAGAAGGUGCUGGAUUCUGUGGCUUGUAAACCUGUGGAACUCAAUGCUUUUCCUUCUGUGAUCCUGACUAGGAGUGUUUUAAUUUUCUUAUGUUUACUAGUGUGAACUUUUUUUAUUUAUUUUUUUUUCUAGCACUGUUUAUGGUGAGUUCUAAAGCCAGAAGAGGAGAAGAGUCCUCUCAGGAUCCAAAACAGAACUCUGAAAGAAAGAAGCACUAACAUCAAGUUGCCAGUGACACAUGCAUGGAAAGGGAUAAAGUGAGACCUUAUCUGGGCAGAGAAUCAUGGAGAAUGGAAGGAGAAAGGAAGUUUGGAAGUAUGUGAAGCUGCAAAGGUGCUCAGAUUUACUGGAAUAAGAAGCAUCCCUGUGAUUCAGCAUGGCUCAGAUACAUUUUGGCUGAAAAACUGUUUCAGCUCAGGCUUCUUUGCCAGAUACAUCCGCCUUCUUCACAAAGUACUCUGUCUCAGUAAGGAGUUCAGCUGGUCCACUGUGGUCAAUAUCUGAUCCUCUGCUGGGAAAAACUGAAAUCCAUGGAUAUCAAAAUCAGGGCAUCCCAGAACAUUGGAGUGGAAAGAAUGAUGCAUCUGACUCCAUGGAUAUCAGAAGGCUAAUUAUUUACUUUAUUAUACUAUAUUACAUACAUCUAAACUGAAUCUGCCAAGUACUCACUCUGCACACAGCUGCACUCCAGUCGUGACUGUCCUGUGACUCUCAGCCAACAGUCCAGACACACACACACUCUUGGCCCUGAUAGGCCAAGGAAA